rnacentral:rRNA from 1 species
CCUGGGGAGUACGGUCGCAAGAUUAAAACUCAAAGGAAUUGACGGGGACCCGCACAAGCGGUGGAUGAUGUGGAUUAAUUCGAUGCAACGCGAAAAACCUUACCUACCCUUGACAUGGUCGGAAUCCCGCUGAGAGGUGGGAGUGCUCGAAAGAGAACCGGCGCACAGGUGCUGCGUGGCUGUCGUCAGCUCGUGUCGUGAGAUGUUGGGUUAAGUCCCGCAACGAGCGCAACCCUUGUCCUUAGUUGCUACGCAAGAGCACUCUAAGGAGACUGCCGGUGACAAACCGGAGGAAGGUGGGGAUGACGUCAAGUCCUCAUGGCCCUUAUGGGUAGGGCUUCACACGUCAUACAAUGGUCGGAACAGAGGGUUGCCAACCCGCGAGGGGGAGCUAAUCCCAGAAAACCGAUCGUAGUCCGGAUUGCACUCUGCAACUCGAGUGCAUGAAGCUGGAAUCGCUAGUAAUCGCGGAUCAGCAUGCCGCGGUGAAUACGUUCCCGGGUCUUGCACACACUGCCCGU